ensembl:lncRNA
CUUAAACAAAAAUAAUAAUAUCAUCAUAAUUGGCACAAUGCUUUUAUUUUGGAGACGCAAUUCUUGUUCUUGAACUUUUAUUUUGGAAUGGACUCUGCUGAUGGUACCUAGCUUCUCUGCCCCCACCAUCGCAACGACUGACUGCUUGUUUCGCUCAGUUUGGGCCACGCUAAGUGAUUAUGCUAAAUUGCUUGGAUGACUUAUGGGAAAGUACUGUACCGCACAGGAGUUUGUUAUUGGCACAUAGAGUAAAACGUGUAAAUAUAUUUUAACAGCCACGUUAGAACGACAAAUCUGCAAACCUCCUAGCUAAAUAUGGAUAUUACUUUGUUUGCUAGGUACAGUCAUUCUCAAUUUUGCCAACAACACCUAAGAAGAAAAUAGGAGUGCUAAGGAUUCCCUGCAAACAAAACCCAUCAUCCCCGGAGAGAGGCAGCCAUGAUGGUGGCCACUGACAGAAAGAGGCUUUCAAGGAGCUGGAGACAAAAGCCAGUGAACAGUCUAAUGUUGAACAGGCUGGUGGCUACCGUAAACUAAAGACUGGACAAGGUGAUCAAUGACAUCACCCGUUUGUGUACUGGGCAGCAUCUCAGUGGCCUAUUUCCACU